rnacentral:misc_RNA from 1 species
AAGACCAGAUCUCUAUGAACUGAAGCCGACUAGAGAGACCUAAACAAACCUUCCACGAUGAAUACAUAGGCAAGAUCGGAUCCAGAAGGAGAUAAAAAGCCAUGGGUUGCAAAAUCCCAGUAGAAACAAUAUGCGUCAUUAGCAAUUAGAAGGUGAUGAUAACUUCGAUCGUAAGUGUCUCACUCGUGCUCUUCCUGCCCAGUCACUAAUGAGCAGAGGAGAAAG